GCUGGCACCAUGCACUGACCCUCCGAGCUUUGGGGCUGCUGCAAUGCAAGCACUGAGGAGAAGGGGCUGGGGCUGUGCCCUGGAGGAACCACGGGAGGCUGCUGGUGACACAAGGUGAAAGACGGAGGGGAUACAGGACCAGCUAAUAUAUGCUCUGAUAUUGGCACUGCUCUCACUAAUAUUCCUGCCAGCGAAUUCUCUGCUCUGCUUGAAUAUUCAUGGGAAGUGAAUGUGAGGAGAGGAACAGCCUAAAAGGGCGGUGUCUCCUUUGCAUAUUGGAUUCACGUCUGAUUAUAUGGUGAGUGAGGCGUGAGAGAAUAGGAAAGCAACCUCCAAAGCAUUAACUCCUCCACACGUGCCGGGGCUCCAGCGCAGCUCGGCUUUCUUGUGCUUCCUCCUUCCUAAAAAUAUCAUCGCACCCCACCGGAUGACGGGAGAGAAACGCUACUGUUACAGAGGCGAGCGUGGGAAGCUGAGACUGUAUCAGAAUUCGCGUAAUUAGUAUUUGCAUCGGGCUGUUUCUCGGCCGUACAACCAAUUCGGUGGCAGGGAGGCAGGAAGGGCUGCUCUCCUCUCUCUCAGGAGGUGACACCAAGGCAGGGUCACCGCCUGACCCCGUCCUGCUCUCCAGCCCCAGGGUGGUCGGAGCCAUCCCGCAUCCCCGGCCCCCAGGUGCUGGAAUGCGGCAAUUCCUCGCUCUGCCCAGCUGCCGCUCCGCUCACAGCGCUGCCGGGCUCGGCAGAACCAGGCACCUUGCUAAUCGUCCCUGGGCCACUCGUGAAAGGCUGUGAAAUUUCCAAUUAGCCCGGAAAAAAAUGCAGAUGAGCGUGUAAUUCUCUGCCCAAAUUAAAUCAAGCGUCCGAGCACGCUCUUCCCUCACUGCUCCGCUUCAUCCACCAUCUCCCCUCUGCAUCCUUUAGCACUGCACAUUUCUCUUUUUAAUUGGUGGCAGGCUUUACCCUUGGAGUUUAAACUUUGCCAGUGGGUGGAAGGAAGGGGCUGCCUUCUUUAUUUGUUUUAAAGAAAGUCUUUGCGGCUGUGAGGAUCUAAUGCAUCAGCUUUUUGGGGGGUUUCAUCCCCGCUCUCACGGCUGUGUCAGACUGGCCUGGGUCUGAUGCAGCAGAGGAAAGCAGAAGAUUAGUUUGAGAUACAGGGGGGAACCUGGCUCGUUUGGGAUGCUCGGCCACAGGGUUUGCAUUAGAAACAUGUUGACACUGCUGAACAUGGAGAACCAAGGGAAUGCUAAUGGUCCAUUCAUUAAAUAUCUCGAAGUCCAUUUAGGAUCCCAGAGAGACCCCGAGUAAAUUAGAGUUCAGGAGGAAAGCUGGUGCUGCUGAAUACACAACAGUGAAUUUGUGUGUCCAGCCUGCUCCAGUGAGGGACAUUCUCCACUGCCAGGUGCCACCAGGAGGGGAGAUCCCAGCACUCCUGUGCCACAACAUCUCCCAGACAGAGCCCAGGAGAUGCUGGGCAUGACACCAAUUGGAAAACCUGUUGCAAAAAUAAGAAAUGAUCCAUCAGGCCAGGGCUUGUCCCACUGGAGCAGCGUUUUUGGUGUUUGGAGGUGGCAUUUAUAGAGAUAGACACUGAAAUUGUCCUCAGUCAGGGCAGAGUGAUCCUGGAGUGCCCUUUCCCAAGGCUUUCUGAUGCUUCCACCUUUCAACACUCAGCAAAUGAAAUUCAACACAGACCCUUUUUAGUUUACUUCUAUCCCCAUAUAAAACUGUGGAAAAUGUCCAGAUCACAGGGAUGGCCAGGGAGCCUGUUCCACCCCAGCUCAGUUGCCCUCCCAGUUGCUUUUCCAAAGAAAUACUGAUCAAUUUUUUUUCUGUCUAUGCAGCAAUUGCUCCUAAUUGCUGCCUCCAUUGUUUGCCUUCUGGUUUGGAGCAUGUUUAAUGGGAGAUUUGUGCUCAUCUUGAAAGGAUGCUGGCUUUAAUGAUCAGGGAGAGUGUCAGUGAGCUGGGAGUUCACAAAGCAAUGCCCUUAUUUCUGAUUUCCAGUGUGAACUCCCAUCUGCAGCUGCUGCAGUUUGAUCCUGAGGGGAACCCAGAGCUGGGCAGAGAGCUUUCAGAGCGGGUGGAGGUUCAGUUGUACCAGGGCAGGCGGGAGGUCAGGCAGACACAGAAAUUACGGACUCACAGAAUUAUUAUGGCUGGCAAAGACCCCCAAGCCCAACCUCUGAAUGGCCACCACUAAACCAAGCCAUGAAGUGAAUGCUGAUGUCCACAGCAAGGACUGGGCAGGAGCUGGACUCAAUCCCUGUGGGUCCCUUCCAACUCAGCUUAUUCUGUGACUCUCUGAGCCCCUCACCCCAAGCACGAGGCACCAGCAGCUCCUCCACUUGCUGCAGAGGCUUGGCUUGGCUUCAGCAUUUAUGUAACAGCAGGAGAAACCCAGAUCCUCUGAGAAUGUGUCCUGUGCCCAAAAAAUGUUCAUUUUGAGCCAGGUGGGAGAGAAGUCACCAUGUCCCAAGGAGUUCUUUGGCAAUGAGAACAAGUGUCCUGCUGGGACAAUCGGCAGGGAUGGCAGUGGGUCACGGCUGGGACAGGAUCCUGAUGGAUGAUGUUGCUCCACAGGCAGCGCACAACAGAUGAAGUGGGAUCAGCCAGGCAAAGCCCUGUGAUGGAGGCACAGGGCUCCUCUGCUCAGGGCUGAGCUUUCGGCUGCAGGAGGCUGGAGGAGAGCUCACCUCUGUGACGCACUGCUUCUUCCAGCUGUGGGUGUCCUUUGGUGGGGUGGGUUUGGACACGGAGCUUUGACUGGGGAUGCUGGUGGUGGGGCAGUGAGAGGCUGGGGAGGGCUGGAGGAAGGGACUGCUGCUCUCACCCACGUGCCAGAGGAACACUCCUGCAGCCUCACGCCCUGAUGUUCUUGUGUAACUGCAGGGAAAGGGGAAUGAUGGUCUGUGAUUAGAUGGGUUUGGGGGGAGAGCUUUGAUCCUGUCAGCAGAGGCGGGAGAACGAUGGGAAGAGAAAUGAGCGCAAAGAAAGGAGAGGGGAGGAGGCAAACACCAUCAAGAUGGUCCUGACAGACGGGGAGGAGGUGAGGGAUGUGGCAGGAGAUGUCUCCCAGCGCUGCUCAAAUAGGCAGGGGGAGGACAGGAGCCCAGGCUCCUUCUGGGGGAGAGCUUUCCCUUAAACCCAAGCUGUGAUUUCCAUUGGUACUGUCAGAUCAGCCCCAGAACCUCGGCAGGAGGGGCAGUUUGACAUCAAUUACUGCAGUCCUGUCUCACCCUGCUCUGGCAGCAACCCGGGGAGUGCGCUUUGGAGACAGAUGUGUUUGACUCACAGAUGUGACGCAGAGCAGAGCAUCAGGCAGUGCAUUGAGUUUGGUGCUGUUUUAGUGGGAACCAGGGCCCUGAACAAGCUGGAUGCUGUGGCCUCAGUGAGCAAUGCUCUGCCCAAAUCCCUGUUUGUGAGGCAGAGAUCCGCUCAGCCGCAGGGAGCUCUGGAAGCGUGGCAGCACUCAGGACGUGGUGACAGCGAGCACAGGCAGAGGCUGGCAGCGGGCAGGCUCCAUCUCAGAGCCACUCGCCUUGAGCUUUAUCAAAUCAUCCCAAAAAGCAGCGUCAAGUGGCUCUAGGUGUGCAAUUCCCCCAGGAGCUGAAGGAAAAACAAAGC